rnacentral:rRNA from 1 species
AGCUCAGGAUGAACGCUGGCGGCGUGCCUAAUACAUGCAAGUCGAGCGAAUGGAUUAAGAGACUUGCUCUUAUGAAGUUAGCGGCGGACGGGUGAGUAACACGUGGGUAACCUGCCCAUAAGAACUGGGAUAACUCCGGGAAACCGGGGCUAAUACCGGAUAACAUUUUGAACCGCAUGGUUCAGAAAUUGAAAGGCGGCUUCGGCUGUCACUUAUGGAUGGACCCGCGUCGCAUUAGCUAGUUAGGUGAGGUAACGGCUCACCAAGGCAACGAUGCGUAGCCGACCUGAGAGGGUGAUCGGCCAACACUGGGACUGAGACACGGCCCAGACUCCUACGGGAGGCAGCAGUAGGGAAUCUUCCGCAAAUGGACGAAAGUCUGACGGAGCAACGCCGCGUGAGUGAUGAAGGCUUUCGGGUCGUAAAAACUCUGUUGUUAGGGAAGAACAAGUGCUAGUUGAAUAAGCUGGCACCUUGACGGUACCUAAACCAGAAAGCCACGGCUAACUACGUGCCAGCAGCCGCGGUAAUACGUAGGUGGCAAGCGUUAGUAAGCGCGCGCAGGUGGUUUCUUAAGUCUGAUGUGAAAGCCAUCCGGAAUUAUUGGGCGUAAAGCGCGCGCAGGUGGUUUCUUAAGUCUGAUGUGAAAGCCACACGGCUCAACCGUGGAGGGUCAUUGGAAACUGGGAGACUUGAGUGCAGAAGAGGAAAGUCACGGCUCAACCGUGGAGGGUCAUUGGAAACUGGGAGACUUGAGUGCAGAAGAGGAAAGUAGGAAUUCCAUGUGUAGCGGUGAAAUGCGUAGAGAUAUGGAGGAACACCAGUGGCGAAGGCGGAAUUCCAUGUGUAGCGGUGAAAUGCGUAGAGAUAUGGAGGAACACCAGUGGCGAAGGCAGACUUUCUGGUCUGUAACUGACACUGAGGCGCGAAAGCGUGGGGAGCAAACAGGAUUAGAGACUUUCUGGUCUGUAACUGACACAUACCCUGGUAGUCCACGCCGUAAACGAUGAGUGCUAAGUGUUAGAGGGUUUCCGCCCUUUAAGUGCUGAAGUUAACGCAUUAAGCACUCCGCCUGGGGAGUACGGCCGCAAGGCUGAAACUACAAAGGAAUUGACGGGGGCCCGCACAAGCGGUGGAGCAUGUGGUUUAAUUCGAAGCAACGACGAAGAACCUUACCAGGUCUUGACAUCCUCUGAAAACCCUAGAGAUAGGGCUUCUCCUUCAGGGAGCAGAGUGACAGGUGGUGCAUGGUUGUCGUCAGCUCGUGUCGUGAGAUGUUGGGUUAAAGUCCCGCAACGAGCGCAACCCUUGAUCUUAGUUGCCAUCAUUAAGUUGGGCACUCUAAAGGUGACUGCCGGUGACAAACCGGAGGAAGGUGGGGAUGACGUCAAAUCAUCAUGCCCCUUAAUGACCUGGGCUACACACGUGCUACAAUGGACGGUACAAAGAGCUGCAAGACCGCGAGGUAGGAGCUAAUCUCAUAAAACCGUUCUCAGUUCGGAUUGUAGGCUGCAACUCGCCUACAUGAAAGCUGGAAUCGCUAGUAAUCGCGGAUCAGCAUGCCGCGGUGGAAUACGUUCCCGGGCCUUAGUACACACCGCCCGUCACACCACGAGAGUUUGUAACACCCGAAGUCGGUGGGGUAACCUUAUUUGGAGCCAGCCGCCUAAGGUGGGACAGAUGAUUGGGGUGAAGU